AGGAUUCAGUGAGUCAUCGAAAUUUUGAACGCAUAUUGCACUUCCGGGUUAGUCCUGGAAGUAUGCCUGUAUCAGUGUCCGUACAUUAAACUUGACUUUCUUCCUUCCGUGUAGUCGGUGGAGGAGAUGUCAGAUGUGAAGUGUCUUGCGAUUGGUCUUCGGACCGGCUGCGAGUCCUUUUAAAUGUACUAAACUGAACUUCUCUUUGCUCGAAAAGUGGUGGCGUUGCUGGUUGUGAAGGCUGCUAUUGUGGCAAAUUGGCGACUGGUUUGUCUGCUGCGGCNUUAAUGGAAGAGUGUUCGAUUCGUGGUAUGGUUGGCUUCGGCUGAACAAUGCAACUUAUUGGACGUUUUUCCUGCUGUGGCGUGAUGGACUGGUGAACCAUAGCUCGGUGGCUUGGCUUUUGAAUUGGCUUUGCUGUUGCGAAGUAGGGUGGCAGCUUCGGUUGUCGAGGGUCGAUCCAUUUGGGAACUUAAUGUGUACUUCGGUAUGCAUCUCAAUUGGACCUGAUAUCC
rnacentral:misc_RNA from 1 species